rnacentral:rRNA from 1 species
AGUGAACGCUGGCGGUAGGCCUAACACAUGCAAGUCGAACGGCAGCACAGUAAGAGCUUGCUCUUACGGGUGGCGAGUGGCGGACGGGUGAGGAAUACAUCGGAAUCUACUUUUUCGUGGGGGUUAACGUAGGGAAACUUACGCUAAUACCGCAUACGACCUACGGGUGAAAGCAGGGGAUCUUCUGACCUUGCGCGAUUGGAUGAGCCGAUGUCGGAUUAGCUAGUUGGCGGGGUAAAGGCCCACCAAGGCGAGGAUCGGUAGCUGGUCUGAGAGGAUGAUCAGCCACACUGGAACUGAGACACGGUCCAGACUCCUACGGGAGGCCGCAGUGGGGAAUAUUGGACAAUGGGCGCAAGCCUGAUCCAGCCAUACCGCGUGGGUGAAGAAGGCCUUCGGGUUGUAAAGCCCUUUUGUUGGGAAAGAAAAGCAGCGGGUUAAUACCCCGCUGUUCUGACGGUACCCAAAGAAUAAGCACCGGCUAACUUCGUG